AGGAAGGACUAGGUCAUCUGUGAUCACUAGAUUUCAAUAUGCCACCUAUCAUAACACACCAUUACUAAUAUUCUACCUACCCUAAAAGAAGGAAAACUGUUAGAAAUCCGGCUGUAACAUUAGCAACACUAAUCAGCACUUAAAAUGCAUUUAUUCCAUUUGUUUACUGACCAACUAUUAUGUGCCAUUUUAGCUGGCAGGGAUUUAAUGGUAAAUAAGACAGACAAAACAAGCAAAGUCAAAAAACAAAAAUAGGGGUGAGGUGUGAAUUGGUGUUAGAGUGCUUUUCUAGCAUACAUGAUGCCCUGGGUUCGAUCUCCAGCACUACAGAUUUAAAACAAAAACAAAUAACCAACAAAAAGCAGCCAAAUGAGUAGAUAAAUGAAAUAAUUUAAAGUUUCAGUAAGCAUCAUGAAGGAAACAAGCAAGUCUGAAAUGUCUGGAUAAGGUGAUCAAGAAAGACUUUAUUGAGAAGGCAGCAUUUAAGUAGAAAUCAGCUGCAAAUAUUGUGAAACCCAGUUACAGUUCUGUUUGUUCUAUGAUGGGUAAAUAAAGCAUUUCCCCCCAAAGUGGAAACUACCGUGAGACUAAUUAUUAGUAAUGGUAGUGCCCUUUGGAAGCGAGACACCUCCUCUUCCCACCCUGUUACUUUCAGUUCUUCCCUGCCAGGCAACUUUUGCAAUGUUUUGCUGGCAGGCAUUGAGGCUGGGCAUGGGGCUUGGACAUUUGGCAAUGAUGAAUCUUUAUUGCCCUCUAAAUCACUAAUCUAGGGAUAAAGCCGAGAAGACUUGGGGUACCCAAGGAAAGCCCCUGAUAGAUCUUGGAAAAAGCUGUAGGUCUGAGUAUGUUGUGUGUGGACCUAUGUAAGUAUCAGUCUCUUCUAAUUGCCUUAGGGCUUUAGUUCAGUAUAACUUGACACUUUCUACACAAAGCUGUUACUUCCCUCAUCUCUCUUCCCCCACCAUAGAGAUAAAAUCAAUCAUGGGAAGGUGAUCCUCAAUCUACCUCCUUCCCUGACUUAUACGUACCAAGACCUAUGGCCAGUAUG
rnacentral:lncRNA from 1 species